UCUAUAUUUGUGCUUUCUGUGUUGUACAAAAUGUUAACGUUUGUUCAAUUGCCUAUAAUAUCAACAGUGCGAGUUUGUUUUUCUUUAAUGUGCACCUCCCCCCCUUCCUUUAAACUUUCUGGUUGCGAAUUACUACCCUAUUCCUCGACCUAGGUUAAUUUACUGAAACCUCGAUAUAUCUUCAUUUCAUUGAAACAAAUUUGGUACACCGAUGUCAUUUCUACGUGUUAUAACUCUCAAACAAUGAACAUGCUCACGUAAACAUGCAUAAUUACAAACUCAUAUAGUUACAUACUACAUACCAUCUUUAAUUCAGAAGAGAACGGAUACAGACGAUUUCCUCACAUUAAUUAUUAUACAUUGUAUAUUCGUACUUUAUCCUUAAAAUAUUCAUCAAAUGUGCGGAUAAAAUUGUCAUAAGGGUCAAAUUUUCUAUUACUGGGGAGUGAGAAUGAGUUUUGCUGAUGAAAUAUUUGUUAAAAGACAGCAACUGAAGCACUUCUCGACUGUUUAACUCAUACUGAUGGCACAAAGGUUUUAACAAGCAACUUGACUUGUGGGGACAAAGUCUGUGUAGUAAUUGGUGGAGCUUGUAAUCUUGAACAUUUAAGGCUGCAAAAAAUUACUCAUAUUGUUAAUGUUGCCACAGGAAUUGUAAAUCAAUUUC